CUUUGACACCUGGCUAUCUUUUAUCUUGAAAUGCAUGCAUCGAAUCCACAUCGAACGUGCAACUCUUCACGAAUCGUCCACCAAGAGCAAGUCAAAUUGCAGAAGAUCAAAGAACUGACGAACAUCUUAAAGGACACGGACAAAAAUCUCACAACAUGCGAAGAAAUUCUAGCUACUUAUAUAAAGAAACGAUUGAAGG